GAUGAAGAACGCAGCGAAAUGCGAUACGUAAUGUGAAUUGCAGAAUUCAGUGAAUCAUCGAGUCUUUGAACGCACAUUGCGCCCCCUGGUAUUCCGGGGGGCAUGCCUGUCCGAGCGUCAUUGCUGCCCUCAAGCACGGCUUGUGUGUUGGGCCUCCGUCCUCCUCCCGGGGGACGGGCCCGAAAGGCAGCGGCGGCACCGCGUCCGGUCCUCGAGCGUAUGGGGCUUCGUCACCCGCUCUUGUAGGCCCGGUCGGCGCUUGCCGACACAUCAAUCUUUUUUCCAGGUUGACCUCGGAUCAGGUAGGGAUACCCGCUGAACUUAAGCAUAUCAAUAGCGGAGGA
rnacentral:misc_RNA from 1 species